AUUGCCCAUAUUGCAAUAUUUGCCGUGUUGGCCAAGGGCUAGGGAUUGACUAUUUUCAUUGCAUGAAAUGCAAUUGUUGCUUAGGAAUAAAAUCAACAUCUCACAAGUGCCUGGAGAAAGGUCUAGAAAUGAACUGCCCAAUAUGCUGUGAUGACUUGUUCCCAUCAAGUGCGACAGUCAGGGCUCUACCAUGUAGACAUUACAUGCAUUCAGCUUGCUUUUAGGCAUACACAUGUAGUCAUUACACAUGUCCAAUCUGCAACAAGUCGUUGGGAGAUAUGGCGGUAAGAAUAUUUUCUUCGUAAAUAUCUACGAGCAGGCCUAGUAUUGUAUAGCUGUUUUGUGAUCAUGCAUACAAUUAUGUGCUAUGAUUGAUCUUUACAAACCUCUGCAUGUGAUAGCACUAUAUUAGGUGUUUGAUAAAACUAAAUAGUGUAAGGAUACAUGUGCUUUUGUUGACAUUUCAUUAGAAGAUUUAGAAAAGAUUAGUGAUAUCAAAGAAUGCUCAUGUUAAAUCUUGGUACCAUAAACUAUUUGGGUAUGAAAUGAUUAAUUAAGGGAUAUCUAAGGUGAGAGGGUUGGAGGUACAGUUGUACUCUUGAUAGACUACUAUUGGGAUAUAAAUAUUGGGUUGAAAAGCACUAGUUAUCAAACUCUUCUGAUCUUGCUUUCAUGUGGAAACUGAAAUGCAUAAUAUUACAUGGCAUGCAAUACUUAGUUGUUCUUUACCAUCCCAAGUUUACUUUGGUAUGCUUGAUGCUCCAUUGGCUACUGAGGAGCUUCCUGAAGAGUACAGGAACCGCUAUCAGGACAUACUCUACAAUGACUGUGAUAGAAAGGGCACUUCACGUUUUCACUGGUUAUAUCACAAAUGUGGAUUCUGUGGCUCCUACAAUACUAGGUUGAUCAAGACUAAGGCUACAAAUUCUAGCUGCUCCUAGUCCUAGUUAGUGGUGCUCCUAUUUGACAAAAGAGCUAAAGAGGUACAGGAGUUUGUA